GAUGAACGCUAGCGGUAUGCUUAACACAUGCAAGUCGUACGGGAGUUUUUAACUCAAGUGGCGGACGGGUGAGUAACACGUGAGAAUUUACCUUUAGGAGGGGGAUAACAAUUGGAAACGAUUGCUAAUACCCCAUAUGCUUUUUUAAGUGAAACGGAUUUAUUCGCCUAAAGAAAAGCUCGCGGCUGAUUAGCUAGUUGGUAAGGUAAUGGCUUACCAAGGCGACGAUCAGUAUCUGGUUUGAGAGGAUGAUCAGACACACUGGAACUGAGACACGGUCCAGACUCCUACGGGAGGCAGCAGUGGGGAAUUUUCCGCAAUGGGCGAAAGCCUGACGGGAGCAAUACCGCGUGAGGG
rnacentral:rRNA from 1 species